rnacentral:rRNA from 1 species
UACGUAAGGGGCUAGCGUUGUUCGGAUUCAUUGGGCGUAAAGGGCGUGUAGGCGGUUUGAUAAGUUGGAUGUGAAAUCCCAUGGCUUAACUAUGGAACUGCGUUCAAAACUAUCAGACUAGAGUUCGGGAGAGGAUAUCGGAAUUCCUGGUGUAGGGGUGAAAUCUAUAGAUAUCAGGAGGAACACCGGUGGCGAAGGCGGAUAUCUGGCCUUGAACUGACGCUGAGGCGCGAAAGCUAGGGGAG